rnacentral:rRNA from 1 species
UGCUUUUGUACGGAGCGAAACCGCUUUCUCUAAUACCGGGGGGUAAUGACGGUACCGUAAGAAUAAGCACCGGCUAACUACGUGCCAGCAGCCGCGGUAAUACGUAGGGUGCGAGCGUUAAUCGGAAUUACUGGGCGUAAAGCGUGCGCAGGCGGUUUUGUAAGACAGAUGUGAAAUCCCCGGGCUCAACCUGGGAMCUGCAUUUGUGACUGCAAAGCUGGAGUGCGGCAGAGGGGGAUGGAAUUCCGCGUGUAGCAGUGAAAUGCGUAGAUAUGCGGAGGAACACCGAUGGCGAAGGCAAUCCCCUGGGCCKGCACUGACGCUCAUGCACGAAAGCGUGGGGAGCAA